rnacentral:lncRNA from 1 species
CUUUUCCUGGAAAAGUCAUAAAUAAUCCACCAGAUGGAAACUCCUAGACCGGUGUCUGUCCCCUCAUUGAUUCUCCUUUCUGCUUUCUUAGCCCUAAUGGGAUCUGACCCUAAACCCAUCUCCAAAACACUGCUCUAGCCGCUUGGUAACUAUGUUAAUUUAUGAAGCAGAAAAAAAUGAGAUGGCUGUGAAUUAACAAAAGUGGGACCAUUUCUCUCCAUGAGCAGAACAAUCAGUCUUUCUCAGGCAGUCAGCAAGUGUGGUUUUAAGAGACAAGGAAGAAGAUGGGGAAAGAG